rnacentral:rRNA from 1 species
UACGAAGGGUGCAAGCGUUACUCGGAAUUACUGGGCGUAAAGCGUGCGUAGGCGGUUGGUUAAGUCUGCUGUGAAAGCCCUGGGCUCAACCUGGGAACUGCAGUGGAUACUGGCCAGCUAGAGUGUGUCAGAGGAUGGUGGAAUUCCCGGUGUAGCGGUGAAAUGCGUAGAUAUCGGAAAGGAACAUCAGUGGCGAAAGCGGCUUCCUGGACCAGAACUGACGAUCAGGCUCGAAAGCGUGGGGAGCAAACAGG